CCUCGCUCUCCGUCCGCUCCUCCCCCUCUACCUGCCUGUUUUCAGUGAAGCACUUUCCAUCCACUGACGAAACAGCUGACUGAGGAAACAACGGGACUGUUGUGAUGUCAAGUAACGAAGUAACCGCAGCAUCAUGUCUUCUGAGGCAGGCUGCGGAGUGGCUGCCGCCUCAGAGGAGCUGUACCAGCAGAGGAGCCGGUGUGAGGUGGUCAGAUGAGGAGUAGGAGAGAAGAAACAUAGAGGCUGCUUCAAGAGUUGACCCUGGAAGGAGGCUUUUUGACCUGCAGCCUGGGCUGGUUUAUGAUGCAGCAGGGUAUCAUGAUGCUCCACCAUCCACAGGGGCUCAACUGCCAUGCCAUACCUACCUCUGAGACAUCUGUAGCAACAUGCACCCCAAAUUUACAGGCACAUGCAUCAUUUAGAGAUCAAAGGCAAUUCAGUCCUGUUCAGUAGACGUCAAACAUGUUAAAUUAAUCAUUUAUAAUGGUUAUUAUUUUGCCUAUUGUUCAUUAAUAAGUAAACAAAUAUUUUUCAAAAAAUGAUGUGUGG